CCAUCGCUACCAUUGUCAAUCACCACCCACCUCCACCAUCACAAUCAUCAUCGACAACAAAUAUCGUUACCAACUACUAUUGUCAACCGCUACCGCACCUACUACUCUUAUUAUUCUAUUAUAUUCAUCGUCACCACCGACAUCGACAACACUACCAUCAUUAACCAUUACUGGCCAAUCUCUACUACCGACCAACUCAUCUAUCACAACUAGGACCACCACUAACUACCACUAAUACAUCACAACCUCCACACAUUCUUCGGCC
rnacentral:lncRNA from 1 species